CAGGGAUUUUCCGGAGAAAUGAUACCGGACGAGAGGCGGAGCUGCGAGGAACUUUACAGGGAAAAUCGAAAGUGCAACUAGCUGCGGGCAAGAGCCGCCGAGGCUGGGCUUCCUUGGAUGGAGUCUCACUAAGUUGCCCAAGCUGGAGUAUAGUGGCUAUUCACAGGCACAAUUAUAGUGAGUCUUAAACUCAUGGGCUCAAGGGAUCCUCCUGGCCUCAAGCAAUCCUUCUGCUUCAGCCAUCCAGAGUAGUGGGGAUUACAGACAUGUGUCAUCGCACCAGGCUAUUCUGAACUAUUUUGUUAUUUGAUGCUACUGUAAAUUGAAUUGUUUUUAAGACUUCAUUUUCAAAUUGUCUGUUGCUACUAUACGAAAAUACAAGUGAUUUUCGUUUGUUGACCUUAUAACAUCCAACACUACUAACUUCACUUAUUCUAAUAAUUGUUCUGUAAAUUCCUUUUUCUAGGCAAAUAAUGAUGUCAUUUGUGAAUACAUAACUUCUUGCUUUCCAAUCUUUAUGCCUUUUAUUUCCUUUCCUUAUAGUUUUACCUUUUUUUUUUUUUUUUUUUGAGACAGACUCUCGCUUUUGUCAACCAGGCUGCUGCAGCCUCUACCUCCCAGGCUCAAGGAUCCUCGGAUCCUCCCACCUCAGCCUCCUGAGUAGCCUCCUGCACGCCACUACACCUGGCUAAUUUUUGUAUUUUUUGUAGAGAUGGGGUUCCGCUAUGAUUCCCGGGCUGGUCUCAAACCCCUGAACUCAAGUGAUCCACCCAUCUCAGCCUCUCAAAGUGCUAGGAUUACAGACAUGAGCCACCAUGCCGAGCCAGUUUUACUUCUUUCCAGUCUUCAUGCUUUUUGCUUUAUUAUUGUACCUCCUAGAACCUCCUACAGAAAGUUGAAUAAAAGUGGUGACAGUUUGACACCAUUACUUUAUUGCUUAUUUCAGUGGGGAAAUAAUCAAUGUAGUAAUAAUCACUUUAAAUUUAUGGUAGCUGUAAAUUUUUCUUAGAUACCUUUUAUCAGAUUGAUGAAGUUCUGUUUUAUUCCUGGUUUGCUGAGUUUUUAUAAUGCAUAGGUAUUGAAUUUUUCAAAUGUAUUUUCCCGCAUUUAUUGAGGUGAUCAUAUAUUCUGUUAAUGUACCAAAUUUCAUUGAUCAAUAUUUCAAUGUUAACCCGACCUACCAUUCCUGGAAUAAAUCUCAUUCAGUUUUAGAUACAAAGGAUGCUACAUCAUGACCAAAUGAGUAUUUUAAUAACUUUUGUGUCUGAUUUUCUUGUAAUGCCUUUAUCAGGUUUUGAUAUCAGAGUUAUGCUAGUAUCAUAAAACAUGAGUUUGUUUCAGAUUGGUAUCGUUUUUCCCUUAAUGUUUAACAGAAUUCACCAAUAAAACCAUUUGGGCUUGA